AUAUCUGCGCUUCAGAGAGAAUGGAGACUUUCCUAUUCACAUCUGAAUCCGUGAACGAGGGUCACCCCGACAAGUUGUGCGACCAGAUCUCUGAUGCAGUGCUCGACCAAAAAUAUUUGAAAUAUUAGUGAUAAUUAUGUCGUCUGCAAGCAUGUGGCUGCAAUGUUCUUUCUAAUCUUCUUUGUCUUGCUGACUUGGAUUUGCAGAUUAAACUCAUGAAGGAGAUGUACUUGACUAAACUACAUGAAAUGCAUUAAAAAUAUUGCUACUAAACUUGAGAAGGGCAAGUAGGACAAGGAGAAAAGGGAGAGGGUCCUCCUCCUUGUGUUGAUUCAAAGAUGAACUCAAGAACUCGUCUCAUUGCUCACUUUAUUGAGCCUUCUCUGCGUUGCUGCUACAAGGAAACUUACUCAGUGGUCAAGAAAGAAGGGACCUAUUGUUGCUGAUAUUGCUAGAGUGGAGGGGAAUACAACAACUUGGAAAAUGUGCAAGGAAGGAGGAGCUAACUCAUACAUCCAAGAACAAAUUGAUGAAGUUCGUAUCAAACUAGUAGAAUUUGUGAGCAACAUGUAGCUCCUUUAUUUUUAAUUAUAGGUAGGAAGUAUAUAUGUAAUAGAAUAAAGAUUGG